AUGCUGAGGGAGGCAAGGGAGGUGUUUGACCGGAUGCCGGAGAGGAACGUGGUCAUCUGGACGGUCAUGGUGAAGGCCUACACCGACCACGGUCAUCUUCAGGAGGCCGUGGAGCUGUUCGACAGGAUGCCCCAGAGGAACCCGUAUUCUUGGAGCGCCAUGAUCUCCGGUUUCCUCCGUACUGGGAAAGUGGACGAGGCGGUUCGGCUGUUCGAGAGGAUGCCGGAUAGGAACGUGGUUUCUUGGACCACAAUGGUCACUGGCUUGGCACAGAACGGCCGCGUUUCGAUGGCGAGAGAGUUCUUCGACAGAAUGCCCAGAAACAAGGACAUUGCAGCGUGGAAUGCGAUGAUCACUGCUUAUGCCAACGCUGGCCAGAUGAACAAGGCUCAGAGAUUGUUCGAUUCUAUGCCCGCAAAGGACCUGGUGAGCUGGAGUGCCAUAAUCCAUGGCUAUGCCAAAAACAAGCACAAGGGCAAAGUCAUGCGUUUAUUUCUUCUCAUGCUCCGGUCAGCAGUAUCCCCUGACGGAACUACAUUGAUCAGUGUCUUGGUUGCAUCCGAGAGCACAGUUGAAGUUGGGCAAAUCCAUGGCUUCGCUACCACACGAGGUCUCCUGUCAGACACCUCCUUAGGAAACGCUCUGCUCACCAUGUAUUCAAGGAGCGGUGACCUGCACUCUGCCUGGCAAGUUUUCAACAUGUUACAAGAGAAGGAUCCCGUCAUAUGGACAUCGAUGAUGCGGGCCUUCGCCAACCAUGGCCGUGCCUCCUACGCGCUGCAGGCCUGUGCUCAGAUGUUGCAACAUGGAUACAAGCCCAGCUCGACCACCUUCACCGCCGCGUUAUCAGCCUGCAGCCACGCCAGUGUCGUCGACAAAGGCCGUGCCUCCAGGGCGCAUUGCCGCGUAAGCGUCCAAGGUGGGACGCUUUAUGAACAAUGGUGGGGGAAGCUCUUCCAAAGUCUAACGGUCCCUCUGGUUCGGGUUUGGGAGGCUACUACACGGUUCUGG
rnacentral:rRNA from 1 species